rnacentral:rRNA from 1 species
UGGGGAAUAUUGGACAAUGGGCGAAAGCCUGAUCCAGCCAUGCCGCGUGUGUGAAGAAGGUCUUCGGAUUGUAAAGCACUUUAAGUUGGGAGGAAGGGCAGUAAGCGAAUACCUUGCUGUUUUGACGUUACCGACAGAAUAAGCACCGGCUAACUCUGUGCCAGCAGCCGCGGUAAUACAGAGGGUGCAAGCGUUAAUCGGAAUUACUGGGCGUAAAGCGCGCGUAGGUGGUUCGUUAAGUUGAAUGUGAAAGCCCCGGGCUCAACCUGGGAAAUGCAUCAGAAACUGGCGAGCUAGAGUAGGGCAGAGGGGGGUGGAAUUUCCUGUGUGGCGGUGAAAUGCGUAGAUAUAGGAAGGAACACCAGGGGCGAAGGCGACCACCUGGGCGCAUACUGACACUGAGGUGCGAAAGCGUGGGGAGCAAACAGG